AGAGUUUGAUCCUGGCUCAGGAUGAACGCUAGCUACAGGCUUAACACAUGCAAGUCGAGGGGCAGCAUCAUCAAAGCUUGCUUUGAUGGAUGGCGACCGGCGCACGGGUGAGUAACACGUAUCCAACCUGCCGACAACACUGGGAUAGCCUUUCGAAAGAAAGAUUAAUACCGGAUGGCAUAGUUUUCCCGCAUGGGAUAAUUAUUAAAGAAUUUCGGUUGUCGAUGGGGAUGCGUUCCAUUAGGCAGUUGGCGGGGUAACGGCCCACCAAACCAACGAUGGAUAGGGGUUCUGAGAGGAAGGUCCCCCACAUUGGAACUGAGACACGGUCCAAACUCCUACGGGAGGCAGCAGUGAGGAAUAUUGGUCAAUGGACGAGAGUCUGAACCAGCCAAGUAGCGUGAAGGAUGACUGCCCUAUGGGUUGUAAACUUCUUUUAUACGGGAAUAAAGUUAGCCACGUGUGGCUUUUUGUAUGUACCGUAUGAAUAAGGAUCGGCUAACUCCGUGCCAGCAGCCGCGGUAAUACGGAGGAUCCGAGCGUUAUCCGGAUUUAUUGGGUUUAAAGGGAGCGUAGGCGGGUUGUUAAGUCAGUUGUGAAAGUUUGCGGCUCAACCGUAAAAUUGCAGUUGAUACUGGCGACCUUGAGUGCAACAGAGGUAGGCGGAAUUCGUGGUGUAGCGGUGAAAUGCUUAGAUAUCACGAAGAACUCCGAUUGCGAAGGCAGCUUACUGGAUUGUAACUGACGCUGAUGCUCGAAAGUGUGGGUAUCAAACAGGAUUAGAUACCCUGGUAGUCCACACGGUAAACGAUGAAUACUCGCUGUUUGCGAUAUACGGCAAGCGGCCAAGCGAAAGCGUUAAGUAUUCCACCUGGGGAGUACGCCGGCAACGGUGAAACUCAAAGGAAUUGACGGGGGCCCGCACAAGCGGAGGAACAUGUGGUUUAA
rnacentral:rRNA from 1 species